UUUCCCUUGGCCGAAGCGAUUCCCGGUGGCCCAAACCCGCCGUGAGUCACCACCCCUAACCUUUCAAUCAACAAACCUUGAACACGAACCCCACCUUAUUUCUAAUCCCUAACACGAAUAUGGAUUCAGAUUUCUAUGAUUCUCAUUUAGGCAGCGGGAUCGAGGAGUCAAUUAUCAAGCCCUAAGUUCUAGUUAUCCCGGAUUCAAGCAAAUUUAGCAACGAUCUAAACAGAAUAUCACUUAUGAACAUCAGAGCAAGCUAUAACAUGCACAAUUGAACGAGGAAGACGCGUAAAAGAACCUGAUCGGAAUUUUUGAUAUUCCGGCGCGGCGGUGAAGAUGAAUCUUCCGGUGAACUCGAACUGGUUUGGAAGUGUGUAUGCCCAAGCUGCAAGGUGCUGAUUGAAUGUGGAUACAGGCUUGAUUGGUUUUGGAAGGUGCAGUGAUGCAGGGCAUGGUUGGUUUAAGAGGGCUGUUUGGUAAGCUCAUAAAGUUAACGAAUGAAUUGGUUUAAGCUGAAUAGAACAUGGCAUUUGGAUUCGGUUUGUCAAUUGUUAGUUGUAGCAACAUGUUUUGUAAAUCUUGGUUUUGAUGUGGAGGCUAGA